CCUACGGGAGGCAGCAGUGAGGAAUAUUGGUCAAUGGACGAGAGUCUGAACCAGCCAAGUCGCGUGAAGGAUGACUGCCCUAUGGGUUGUAAACUUCUUUUAUAUGGGAAUAAAAUGUUCCACGUGUGGGAGUUUGUAUGUACCAUAUGAAUAAGGAUCGGCUAACUCCGUGCCAGCAGCCGCGGUAAUACGGAGGAUCCGAGCGUUAUCCGGAUUUAUUGGGUUUAAAGGGAGCGUAGGUGGAUUGUUAAGUCAGUUGUGAAAGUUUGCGGCUCAACCGUAAAAUUGCAGUUGAAACUGGCAGUCUUGAGUACAGUAGGGGUGGGCGGAAUGCGUGGUGUAGCGGUGAAAUGCUUAGAUAUCACGAAGAACUCCGAUUGCGAAGGCAGCUCACUGGACUGCAACUGACACUGAGGCUCGAAAGUGUGGGUAUCAAACAGGAUUAGAUACCCCAGUAGUC
rnacentral:rRNA from 1 species